rnacentral:snoRNA from 1 species
UCCAGCUGUAGGCAGCUGCCUAGGUUGUCUUGUACCUAGGCAAGUGUUACACUGCUGGGAGAACAGCAGCCAAUAGCUGGUUGGCAUUCUGGCCCUGGUUCAUGCCAACUCUUGUGUUGACUACCCCAGGAUGCCAGCAUAGUU